rnacentral:rRNA from 1 species
GCUCCAAUAACGUAUAUUAAAGUUGUUGCGGUAAAAAAGCUCGUAGUUGGAUUUCUGUUGAGGACGACCGGUCCAUACCACGUAUGCGUAUCUGGCUCGGCCUCGGCAUCCUCUCGAUGUACGUUUCUGCGCUUAAUUGCGUGGUGCGGACUCGGGACUUUACUUUGAGGAAUUGGAGUGUUCACGCAGGCCUCGCCAGA